rnacentral:antisense_RNA from 2 species
UUUGAUGGUGGCUGUGCGUAGGGCGCCCUUGGGCGCGCCGGCUUCUUAGAUUCCCCGGUCUACUAACCUGCGUACAGCUGCCACCCCU